GAUGAACGCUGGCGGCGUGCCUAGUACAUGCAAGUCGAGCGAACAGAUGAGGAGCUUGCUCCUCUGACGUUAGCGGCGGACGGGUGAGUAACACGUGGAUAACCUACCUAUAAGACUGGGAUAACUUCGGGAAACCGGAGCUAAUACCGGAUAAUAUAUUGAACCGCAUGGUUCAAUAGUGAAAGACGGUUUUGCUGUCACUUCUAGAUGGAUCCGCGCUGCAUUAGCUAGUUGGUAAGGUAACGGCUUACCAAGGCAACGAUGCGUAGCCGACCUGAGAGGGUGAUCGGCCACACUGGAACUGAGACACGGUCCAGACUCCUACGGGAGGCAGCAGUAGGGAAUCUUCCGCAAUGGGCGAAAGCCUGACGGAGCAACGCCGCGUGAGUGAUGAAGGUCUUCGGAUCGUAAAACUCUGUUAUUAGGGAAGAACAAAUGUGUAAGUAACUAUGCACGUCUUGACGGUACCUAAUCAGAAAGCCACGGCUAACUACGUG
rnacentral:rRNA from 1 species